UACCAGCACCCCGAGUGGUCGGACGAUUAUUGGGCCUAAAGCAUCCGUAGCCGGUCCUACAAGUCUUCCGUUAAAUCCACCUGCUUAACAGAUGGGCUGCGGAAGAUACUAUAGGGCUAGGAGGCGGGAGAGGCAAGCGGUACUCAGUGGGUAGGGGUAAAAUCCUCUGAUCCAUUGAAGACCACCAGUGGCGAAGGCGGCUUGCCAGAACGCGCUCGACGGUGAGGGAUGAAAGCUGGGGGAGCAA
rnacentral:rRNA from 1 species